GCAAGUUGGAAAAUUGCAGAUGAGAAAAUGAAAAGAAAAAUAGAGAGAGAGAAAGGGAAGCCUACUGUGGAAGGAAAUGGGAGUAAUGUUAGUGGGGGUGGGGUGGAUGGUGUAGGAGGUGGUGUAGUGUGGUGGUGUCAAGAUGUGGGUGGAAGGGUUGUUCAGUGGAAUUGUUAGGGCCAUGCAGGAAGGGUAGGAAAUUUGAGAAAAAGGGUGGACAAAGGAGAGGAGGUAAGGGACAAUAGGGGUGUAUAGAUGGUAACCUGGUUGCAUGUGGCUAAUGGAAUGAGGAGAGACAGGAAAUGAGCUGGCAGGUGUAGGAGAAAAUUGUGUUUAAAGAAUUGGUGAAGAGUGAGGAAUUGGAAUUACGAGGAGUGGCCAGAAAUGGAGAGAAUGAUGAGAGGCGAGCGGGGGGUGGGGGGGGGGAUAAAGAGUUGAAAAUAGAAAAAGUGAACAGGUGCACUUUCUACAGAACUGAAAGUACAUCCACACACACUUAUACAUAUUUCUUUCUCCCUGCAUGUAUAUAUAAGGUGUGGCUGUGUGGUAAGAAAUUUGCUUCUCAACCACAUAGUUCCAGGUUCUGUCCCAUUGCAUGGCACCUUGGGCAAGUGUCUUCUAUACCUUAGGUUAACCAAAACCUUGUGAGUGGAUUUGGUAGAUGGAAACUGAAAGAAAC
rnacentral:lncRNA from 1 species